rnacentral:rRNA from 1 species
UGGUAGUCCAUACCGUAAACGAUGAAUGCUAAGUGUUGGAGGUUUCCCCUUCAGUGCUGCAGCUAACGCAUUAAGCAUUCCGCUGGGGAGUACGGCCGCAAGGCUGAAACUCAAAGGAAUUGACGGGGGCCCGCACAAGCGGUGGAGCAUGUGGUUUAAUUCGAAGCUACGCGAAGAACCUUACCAGGUCUUGACAUACUAUGCAAAUCUAAGAGAUUAGACGUUCCCUUCGGGGACAUGGAUACAGGUGGUGCAUGGUUGUCGUCAGCUCGUGUCGUGAGAUGUUGGGUUAAGUCCCGCAACGAGCGCAACCCUUAUUAUCAGUUGCCAGCAUUAAGUUGGGCACUCUGGUGAGACUGCCGGUGACAAACCGGAGGAAGGUGGGGAUGACGUCAAAUCAUCAUGCCCCUUAUGACCUGGGCUACACACGUGCUACAAUGGAUGGUACAACGAGUUGCGAACUCGCGAGAGUAAGCUAAUCUCUUAAAGCCAUUCUCAGUUCGGAUUGUAGGCUGCAACUCGCCUACAUGAAGUCGGAAUCGCUAGUAAUCGCGGAUCAGCAUGCCGCGGUGAAUACGUUCCCGGGCCUUGUACACACCGCCCGUCACACCAUGAGAGUUUGUAACACCCAAAGUCGGUGGGGUAACCUUUAGGAACCAGCCGCCUAAGGUGGGACAGAUGAUUAGGGUGAAGUCGUAACAAGGUAACCA